rnacentral:rRNA from 1 species
CUCGUAGGUGGUUCGUUACGUCGGAUGUGAAAAUCUGGGGCUCAACCCCCAGACCUGCAUCCGAUACGGGCGAGCUAGAGUUUGGUAGGGGAGACUGGAAUUCCUGGUGUAGCGGUGGAAUGCGCAGAUAUCAGGAGGAACACCAAUGGCGAAGGCAGGUCUCUGGGCCAAUACUGACACUGAGGAGCGAAAGCGUGGGGAGCGAACA